rnacentral:rRNA from 1 species
AGUGAACGCUGGCGGUAGGCCUAACACAUGCAAGUCGAACGGCAGCACAGUAAGAGCUUGCUCUUACGGGUGGCGAGUGGCGGACGGGUGAGGAAUACAUCGGAAUCUACUUUUUCGUGGGGGAUAACGUAGGGAAACUUACGCUAAUACCGCAUACGACCUACUGGUGAAAGCAGGGGAUCUUCGGACCUUGCGCGAUUGAAUGAGCCGAUGUCGGAUUAGCUAGUUGGCGGGGUAAAGGCCCACCAAGGCGACGAUCCGUAGCUGGUCUGAGAGGAUGAUCAGCCACACUGGAACUGAGACACGGUCCAGACUCCUACGGGAGGCAGCAGUGGGGAAUAUUAGACAAUGGGCGAAAGCCUGAUCCAGCCAUACCGCGUGGGUGAAGAAGGCCUUCGGGUUGUAAAGCCCUUUUGUUGGGAAAGAAAAGCAGCAGGUUAAUACCCCGCUGUUCUGACGGUACCCAAAGAAUAAGCACCGGCUAACUUCGUG